rnacentral:tRNA from 1 species
GUGGGUAUAGUUCAGUGCUAGAGCACAUGUUUAGCAUGCACGAGGUCCUGGGUUCAAUCCCCAGUGCCUGCA